GACGAACGCUGGCGGCGUGCUUAACACAUGCAAGUCGAACGGUAAGGCCCUUCGGGGUACACGAGUGGCGAACGGGCGAGUAACACGCGGGUGAUCUGCCCUCCACUUUGGGAUAAGCCUGGGAAACUGGGGCUAAUACCGGAUUGGACCAAGCGCUUCACGGAGUGUGGGGGAUAGGUUUUGGGGUGUGGGUUGGGCUCGGGGGCCAUCCGCUUGUUCGUGGGGUAAUGGCCUACCAAGGCGACGACGGGGAGCCGGCCUGGGGGGGUGGCGGGGCACACUGGGACUGAGAUACGGCCCAGACUCCUACGGGAGGCAGGAGGGGGGAAUAUUGCACAAUGGGCGCAAGCCUGAUGCAGCGACGCCGCGUGAGGGAUGACGGCCUUCGGGUUGUAAACCUCGUUCAGUAGGGACGAAGCGCAAGUGACGGUACCUACAGAAGAAGGACCGGCCAACUACGUGCCAGCCGCCGCAGUAA
rnacentral:rRNA from 1 species